rnacentral:rRNA from 1 species
GAUGAACGCUGGCGGCGUGCCUAAUACAUGCAAGUCGAGCGAACAGACGAGGAGCUUGCUCCUCUGACGUUAGCGGCGGACGGGUGAGUAACACGUGGAUAACCUACCUAUAAGACUGGGAUAACUUCGGGAAACCGGAGCUAAUACCGGAUAAUAUAUUGAACCGCAUGGUUCAAUAGUGAAAGACGGUUUUGCUGUCACUUAUAGAUGGAUCCGCGCCGCAUUAGCUAGUUGGUAAGGUAACGGCUUACCAAGGCAACGAUGCGUAGCCGACCUGAGAGGGUGAUCGGCCACACUGGAACGGAGACACGGACCAGACUCCUACGGGAGGCAGCAGUAGGCAAUCUUCCGCAGUGGGCGGAAGCCUGACGGAGCGACGCCGCGUGAGUGAUGAAGGUCUUCGGAUCGUAAAACUCUGUUAUUAGGGAAGAACAAAUGUGUAAGUAACUAUGCACGUCUUGACGGUACCUAAUCAGAAAGCCACGGCUAACUACGUG